rnacentral:sRNA from 1 species
CAUCCUCGAUCUGCUGGGGGGCAAUGAAGUGGAUAUGGGCAUCGAAGCCGCCGGCGGUGAGGAUGCGGCCCUCGCCCGCGAUCACCUCGGUGCCGGGGCCGACGAUGAUGGUGACGCCGGGUUGCGUGUCGGGGUUUCCGGCCUUGCCGAUCUUGUGGAUCAGGCCGCCGCGCAAGCCGACAUCUGCCUUGUAGAUGCCGCUGUGGUCGAGGAUCAGCGCAUUGGUGAUGACGGUAUCCACCGCGCCCUCGGCCCGCGUGGCCUGGGAUUGGCCCAUGCCGUCGCGGAUG